GACGAACGCUGGCGGCGUGCCUAAUACAUGCAAGUCGAACGCAGUGGGGACAGGUGAGUAACACGUGGGUAACCUCCCAUCAGAGGGGAUACCACUUGGAAACAGGUGCUACACCAAUCCUGAUGGAUGGACCCGCUGUGCAUGAGCUAGUUGGUGAGGUAACGGCUCACCAAGGCCACGAUGCAUAGCCGACCUGAGAGUGUGACCUGCCACACUGGGACUGAGACACGGCCCAGACUCCUACGGGAGGCAGAAGUGGGGAAUCUUCGGCAAUGGACGAAAGUCUGACCGAGCAACGCCGCGUGAGUGAAGAAGGUUGUCGGAUCGUAAAACUCUGUUGUUAGAGAAGCGGUAUCUAACCAGAAAGCCACGGCUAACUACGUGCCAGCAGCCGCGGUAAUUC
rnacentral:rRNA from 1 species